rnacentral:rRNA from 1 species
AGAGCGAACGCUGGCGGCAGGCUUAACACAUGCAAGUCGAGCGGGCGUAGCAAUACGUCAGCGGCAGACGGGUGAGUAACGCGUGGGAACAUACCUUUUGGUUCGGAACAACACAGGGAAACUUGUGCUAAUACCGGAUAAGCCCUUACGGGGAAAGAUUUAUCGCCGAAAGAUUGGCCCGCGUCUGAUUAGCUAGUUGGUGAGGUAACGGCUCACCAAGGCGACGAUCAGUAGCUGGUCUGAGAGGAUGAUCAGCCACAUUGGGACUGAGACACGGCCCAAACUCCUACGGGAGGCAGCAGUGGGGAAUAUUGGACAAUGGGCGCAAGCCUGAUCCAGCCAUGCCGCGUGAGUGAUGAAGGCCCUAGGGUUGUAAAGCUCUUUGUGCGGGAAGAUAAUGACGGUACCGCAAGAAUAAGCCCCGGCUAACUUCGUGCCAGCAGCCGC